GGAGAACUUAGAUCUGCUUCCCCUGUGGUAACUGGAACACAGAAGGAUGAAGUGGAAGGAAGCUUUCAGGGCGGAGAACUACAUUUACCUGAAUCACCUCUCCUGCAUGGUUCCAAGUUACUGCGAAUCAAAAGAGAAACUCACAUGAAAUUUGGAAGGUAGAAGCGAAGCAGAGGUAUUUUGGAAGAUUGGGAGAGACAGACAGUGAUGCACAGACACAAAGGUGUUUGGCAAGAGAGCCUAGGAAUGCACUCCACAGAAUCAGCAACCCUGAGCAGAAAGCACAUUAAGGAUGGAC